UUUCCCUGUUUUUGCUCCCAAUCUCCCCAUUAAUUUCUUUAACACUUAAAAAAUUAGUCGGUUAAGAUGUAAAAAGUCAUUCUACGUUGAAUGAGAUAGGUCGCUUCAUGAUCGGUGGAUCACGAGAGCGUGAAAGUAUAAAAAAACCGUUUUCGUCUCCCCCGCCCAAUUCCCCAGGGACCUCUCAGGGUUAACACUAUUUGGAGCGCUGUCGGAACUUUUGUUUCUUCAAAUCUCUCACCCUUAAAAGGCGGUAAGCCUUCGGCUUUUUAAAAUAAGAAUUUUAAAAAUCUCUCAGGGAUAACUCGCCUACUAUAUA